UAGAGCAAAUGUGGGGAAAAUAAUUUACACCAUGUAUUAGAGCAUAAGUAUGGAUAUUGUUCAAUUAGGACAUGUAUCAAAGAAUAUUAAGUAUCAUUGAGACUAUUCAGAAUCAAAGCAAGUAUAUCACUUAAUAUAUUAAGUAUCAAAGCAAGUACGGUUAAAUCAAAAUUUUAAAGUAUGGCAUAGCAGAUAUCAAGGCAUAAUAAGAGAUAAUCAAAGAAUUUAUUUGGUCCAAUUUGUUCAUUUAUUUAAUGUAUUAGAGCAUGCAUUUAUUUAGUUCAAUUAGUUCAUUUAUUUAAUGUAUCAGGAAGAUAAAAAGGAACAGCAAAAAGAAAUCUAUUCUACUCUUCCCCUUCUCCUUCUUCCCCUUUAAAGGAAGAUCCCUCCUCUUCAGCAAGAGCCAGUCCUUCAAGAAUAAUGCGAUUGAGGUCGAUUUGAGGAUGCAUCCCACCGAUCAUUGCUCGGCACACCUCAAAGCCCUUCUUAAAGGAGUCCAUGAUUGCCUCCACAAUCUCACGAUGGAACUCCUAUGAGUCCUUGAGGUCCUCGAUUGCCUGUUAAGCCUUCUUCUUAGCUUGGAUAGUCUUCUCUUCAGCUCGAGUAGCUCACUCCUUAGCCCCAGCGGCCUACUCCUUGGCAUGAGCCGCCUUGUUCUUAGCCCAACGGAACUUCUUCUUAGCUCGAGAAACUCUACCUUCUACCUCCACCAUGGCAUCCUUGAGCUUAGUAAUCUCCUCCUUGAGCUGAGCCUUCUACUCCAAUUUCUUUUUCUCCUCUUCCAGCCUCUUCUACGCCUUGGAGAGUGUUGUCUCAGCUAAGUGAACCCUCUCCUUAGCAAAAGGAGGUUGCACCUCAGCAUGCUCCCUUGCAUUCUGAGUUGUUGCCCACUCUGUCUCUACUAAAGCUCUCCCAUACUCGCCCUUGUGAAUCUCACACUCGGCUUCCUCUACCUUUU
rnacentral:lncRNA from 1 species